CGCUAUCACUCCUACGGGGAGGCAGCAGUAGGGAAUCUUCCACAAUGGGCGCAAGCCUGAUGGAGCAACACCGCGUGAGUGAAGAAGGGUUUCGGCUCGUAAAGCUCUGUUGUUAAAGAAGAACACGUAUGAGAGUAACUGUUCAUACGUUGACGGUAUUUAACCAGAAAGUCACGGCUAACUACGUGCCAGCAGCCGCGGUAAUACGUAGGUGGCAAGCGUUAUCCGGAUUUAUUGGGCGUAAAGAGAGUGCAGGCGGUUUUCUAAGUCUGAUGUGAAAGCCUUCGGCUUAACCGGAGAAGUGCAUCGGAAACUGGAUAACUUGAGUGCAGAAGAGGGUAGUGGAACUCCAUGUGUAGCGGUGGAAUGCGUAGAUAUAUGGAAGAACACCAGUGGCGAAGGCGGCUACCUGGUCUGCAACUGACGCUGAGGCUCGAAAGCAUGGGUAGCGAACAGGAUUAGAUACCCUGGUAG
rnacentral:rRNA from 1 species